CAAAGGCUUGGUCCUGACUUUACUAUUGGCUUUGAUUACACUUAUACAUGCAAGUAUCCGCGCCCCUGUGAGAAUGCCCUCAACCCCUACCCGGGGCUAGGGAGCCGGCAUCAGGCACAACCUUUAGCCCAUGACGCCUUGCUUCGCCACACCCUUAAGGGUACUCAGCAGUAAUAAACAUUAAGCCAUAAGUGCCAACUUGACUUAAUUAAGAUCAAUAGGGCCGGUAAAACUCGUGCCAGCCACCGCGGUUAUACGAGAGGCCCAAGUCAAUAGCCCCCGGCGUAAAGAGUGGUUAGGAUUACCCUAAACUAGAGCCCUACGCCCUCAUGGCUGUUAUACGCACCCGAGAGGCGGAUGAACUCCCACGAAAGUGGCUUUAAUUAUACUGAACCCACGAGAGCUAUAGAACAAACUGGGAUUAGAUACCCCACUAUGUGUAGCCGUAAACUCUGAUAGCUCAUUUACAUAGCUAUCCGCCAGGGUACUACGAGCGUUAGCUUAAAACCCAAAGGACUUGGCGGUGCCUCAGACCCCCCUAGAGGAGCCUGUUCUAGAACCGAUACUCCCCGUUUAACCUUACCCUCUCUUGUUCCCACUGCCUAUAUACCGCCGCCGUCAGCUUACCCUGUGAAGGUAAAAUAGUAAGCAUAAAUGGUAAAGCCUAAAACGUCAGGUCGAGGUGUAGCGCAUGAGACGGUAGUAAUGGGCUACAUUCUCUAAUUAAGAGUACUACGGAAGGGGGGUUGAAAUACCCCCUCAAAGGAGGAUUUAGCAGUAAGCGAGGAACUAGAGCGUCCCGCUGAAGCCGGCUCUGAGGCGCGCACAUACCGCCCGUCGCUCUCCCCCAAUGUUUACCAAAAACAUCUUUAAACCCCCAACUAAAACCAAGAGGAGAUAAGUCGUAACAUGGUAAGUGUACCGGAAGGUGCACUUGGUGUAAC
rnacentral:ncRNA from 1 species